GCUCGAGUGGCGAACGGGUGAGUAACGCGUGAGUAACCUGCCCUUGACUUUGGGAUAACUUCAGGAAACUGGGCUAAUACCGGAUAGGAGCUCCUGCUGCAUGGUGGGGGUUGGAAAGUUUCGGCGGUUGGGGAUGGACUCGCGGCUUAUCAGCUUGUUGGUGGGGUAGUGGCUUACCAAGGCUUUGACGGGUAGCCGGCCUGAGAGGGUGACCGGCCACAUUGGGACUGAGAUACGGCCCAG
rnacentral:rRNA from 1 species